CCAUCUCUUAGCCACUUUCCAGAUUUCAUAUUAAAGUUUGCUCCAAUCAGUGGGACCUUAGCUAUUGCUGGUAUUCCUAUAAAGCGGGCUAGUUUACAAGAAGUAGCAACCUUGUGAAGAAAGUUGGGUUAUACUUGGUUAAAAUGUCGCAUGCCUUGGGCUACUGGUGAUUUUGAGGGGAGAUACAUUUCAUUGCAAGCUUGGUUGUAUAUCU